rnacentral:piRNA from 1 species
UCCUAAGCUUCUCCAGGGAAGUCCUGAGC